rnacentral:rRNA from 1 species
UACGUAGGGGGCAAGCGUUGUCCGGAAUCAUUGGGCGUAAAGCGCGUGUAGGCGGUCCGGUAAGUCCGCUGUGAAAGUCGGGGGCUCAACCCUCGGAUGCCGGUGGAUACUGUCGGGCUUGAGUACGGAAGAGGCGAGUGGAAUUCCUGGUGUAGCGGUGAAAUGCGCAGAUAUCUGGAGGAACACCGGUGGCGAAGGCGGCAUCCUGGACCGGUAUUGACGCUGAGGCGCGAAAGCUAGGGGAGCAAACGGG